CAAUAAAGGAAGCAUGGUAAUGUGCACAUAAAUUAAAUUGGGUCUUUACGCCUCCCCUCUUUGAUAUCAUUUGACUUUGAUUUGGGGGGUAUGGUUCCGCAGCAAAACA